rnacentral:rRNA from 1 species
UACGUAGGGGGCAAGCGUUGUCCGGAAUCAUUGGGCGUAAAGCGCGUGUAGGCGGUUCGGUAAGUCCGCUGUGAAAGUCGGGGGCUCAACCCUCGGAUGCCGGUGGAUACUGUCGAGCUUGAGUACGGAAGAGGCGAGUGGAAUUCCUGGUGUAGCGGUGAAAUGCGCAGAUAUCAGGAGGAACAUCGGUGGCGAAGGCGGCAUCCUGGACCGGUAUUGACGCUGAGGCGCGAAAGCCAGGGGAGCAAACGGG